UAGAGUUUGAUCCUGGCUCAGGAUGAACGCUGGCGGCGUGCUUAACACAUGCAAGUCGAACGGUGAAGCCAAGCUUGCUUGGUGGAUCAGUGGCGAACGGGUGAGUAACACGUGAGCAACCUGCCCCGGAAUCUGGGAUAAGCGCUGGAAACGGCGUCUAAUACUGGAUACGAGCUGCGAAGGCAUCUUCAGCAGUUGGAAAGAUUUUCCGUUCCGGGAUGGGCUCGCGGCCUAUCAGCUUGUUGGUGAGGUAAUGGCUCACCAAGGCGUCGACGGGUAGCCGGCCUGAGAGGGUGACCGGCCACACUGGGACUGAGACACGGCCCAGACUCCUACGGGAGGCAGCAGUGGGGAAUAUUGCACAAUGGGCAGAAGCCUGAUGCAGCAACGCCGCGUGAGGGAUGACGGCCUUCGGGUUGUAAACCUCUUUUAGCAGGGAAGAAGCGAGAGUGACGGUACCUGCAGAAAAAGCGCCGGCUAACUACGUGCCAGCAGCCGCGGUAAUACGUAGGGCGCAAGCGUUAUCCGGAAUUAUUGGGCGUAAAGAGCUCGUAGGCGGUUUGUCGCGUCUGCUGUGAAAUCCCGAGGCUCAACCUCGGGUCUGCAGUGGGUACGGGCAGACUAGAGUGCGGUAGGGGAGAUUGGAAUCCCUGGUGUAGCGGUGGAAUGCGCAGAUAUCAGGAGGAACACCGAUGGCGAAGGCAGAUCUCUGGGCCGUUACUGACGCUGAGGAGCGAAAGGGUGGGGAGCAAACAGGCUUAGAUACCCUGGUAGUCCACCCCGUAAACGUUGGGAACUAGUUGUGGGGACCAUUCCACGGUUUCCGUGACGCAGCUAACGCAUUAAGUUCCCCGCCUGGGGAGUACGGCCGCAAGGCUAAAACUCAAAGGAAUUGACGGGGACCCGCACAAGCGGCGGAGCAUGCGGAUUAAUUCGAUGCAACGCGAAGAACCUUACCAAGGCUUGACAUAUACGAGAACGGGCCAGAAAUGGUCAACUCUUUGGACACUCGUAAACAGGUGGUGCAUGGUUGUCGUCAGCUCGUGUCGUGAGAUGUUGGGUUAAGUCCCGCAACGAGCGCAACCCUCGUUCUAUGUUGCCAGCACGUAAUGGUGGGAACUCAUGGGAUACUGCCGGGGUCAACUCGGAGGAAGGUGGGGAUGACGUCAAAUCAUCAUGCCCCUUAUGUCUUGGGCUUCACGCAUGCUACAAUGGCCGGUACAAUGGGCUGCAAUACCGUGAGGUGGAGCGAAUCCCAAAAAGCCGGUCCCAGUUCGGAUUGAGGUCUGCAACUCGACCUCAUGAAGUCGGAGUCGCUAGUAAUCGCAGAUCAGCAACGCUGCGGUGAAUACGUUCCCGGGUCUUGUACACACCGCCCGUCAAGUCAUGAAAGUCGGUAACACCUGAAGCCGGUGGCCUAACCCUUGUGGAGGGAACCGUCGAAGGUGGGAUCGGUAAUUAGGACUAAGUCGUAACAAGGUAACCA
rnacentral:rRNA from 1 species